rnacentral:rRNA from 1 species
UACGUAUGGUGCAAGCGUUAUCCGGAUUUACUGGGUGUAAAGGGAGCGUAGGUGGUCUGGCAAGCCAGAAGUGAAAACCCGGGGCUCAACCCCGUGGAUUGCUUUUGGAACUGUUGGACUGGAGUGCAGGAGGGGUAAGCGGAAUUCCCAGUGUAGCGGUGAAAUGCUUAGAUAUUGGGAAGAACACCGGCGGCGAAGGCGGCUUACUGGACUGAAACUGACACUGAGGCUCGAAAGCGUGGGGA